rnacentral:rRNA from 1 species
UGCCUUACACAUGCAAGUCGAACGGUAACAGGUCUUCGGAUGCUGACGAGUGGCGAACGGGUGAGUAAUACAUCGGAACGUGCCCGAGAGUGGGGGAUAACGAAGCGAAAGCUUUGCUAAUACCGCAUACGAUCUCAGGAUGAAAGCAGGGGACCGCAAGGCCUUGCGCUCACGGAGCGGCCGAUGGCAGAUUAGGUAGUUGGUGGGAUAAAAGCUUACCAAGCCGACGAUCUGUAGCUGGUCUGAGAGGACGACCGGCCACACUGGGACUGAGACACGGCCCAGACUCCUACGGGAGGCAGCAGUGGGGAAUAUUGGACAAUGGGCGAAAGCCUGAUCCAGCUAUGCCGCGUGAGUGAUGAAGGCCCUAGGGUUGUAAAGCUCUUUUGUGCGGGAAGAUAAUGACGGUACCGCAAGAAUAAGCCCCGGCUA